rnacentral:lncRNA from 1 species
GGAGGCAAGAGGUUGAACAGCCAUUUUGCAGUCAUGGCUAACCAUGAAGACAAAAGCCACCUGCUAAGGAUGAGAGAGCAGAAAGAUAGAAGCUGCCUGGGAAACUGGGAACAUUGCAAAGCCAUUGUGCCAGUCCUGGAUUGUCUACCUGUGCACUUCAUGUGAAAUAAGAAAAACGAGGCCAGGUAACUGGGAAACCAGAUCCAUUGUCAGAAGCUUGCUGAAUGAGCCCAGAACCGGAAUGAAAACACUCCUGCUUGGAUGCAUGCGCUUUCUCAGAAGUGGUAGUGCAGAUGAAUCUCCUGCCGCCUCUCUCCAUCUGGACUGUACAAUGUGGCAGCAAGGUACCUGCCCAGGACAGUGGAGAUGUGGACACCUGGGUGCUGGUAGAGCAGUGGAACGCCCUGGAGAAGGACAGCCUGGA